rnacentral:tRNA from 1 species
GGUUGUGGCUCAGUGGUAGAAUGCAAACCUAGCAUGCAUGAGGCACUGGGUUCAAUCCUCAGCACCA